rnacentral:lncRNA from 1 species
GCUUUUUAUAUAAUUGUUAAAACAUCGCAAUGUACUUUCUUUAUUUGUGUAUUAUAAUAUGCUAUGAAAAAGAUCCUAAAACUGGUCCUUGUGACAAAAAACAAAAACAUUACCAAGUCGUUCUCCAUAGUAUAAAAACAUUAUAGAAAUGGUCCAUAUUGUAGAAAAAAGUUUACGUAAUUUGUCCAUAUAUAGAAAAACAUUACAAAAUCAGAAUUGUAAGUUUACUUAUUUUACAAUUAAGGCAUUGUACCUCAAAAGGAACAUUAAAAUCGCCUCACUAAAAAAAAAAGCAUACCUCCACCUAAAUUCUGCUCCAACCUGAACACAAAAAUAAAUAAAUAAAAGUCAUUAGUUUCGUACCUAUCCACCAUCAACAUAACCUAGGGUAACUCCUAUUGGUAUGCACAUAUAAAAGAUUUCCAACGAAGUUGUUCUCCGUAAAAGAAAAAGUAAAUAUGUUAUUUGAAUAUAGGGGUAUUUUUGUCAUAUGUACAAAUAACGGGUGAUGAGCCUUGUCCAUAACCUCGAUUUUAAACUCUUGUAAUUCUUGUCCAUAAUGGCUUCACAACCUCUUCAGUACAGUUUUAGUAUUUAUCAUAGAUGAUACAUUACUUUUAUAAAAAAAAUCAAAAUCUACGAUGAAAAAUGUUUGAGCAUUGCUUUAUUAAACUAAUCCUACUAAAUCUCAAGCAAAAUUUUAGAACUUAAAGACGUAACUGUUGUUAUUAUUAAGCUGUAUGACAAUUAGUAUAAGUUCAACAAACUUACUUUUGAUAGCCAGAACCCCUGAAACAACAACCAAUCCAGUGGAAGCAAACGUAUGUGCAGCAGCAAAGUAAACACCCUCUGUUGACCAGAAUGUGGGCAUUGACAACAGUCAACAGUUGAUAACAAACCUUUGAUUUGAUUUCUUGAAACAAUCCAGGACACCCACAUCCAUUUUCUUUUUCCAAUAAAAAAUAUACCAAUAUCUAUUCUGUUCGGAAAUAUUCUAAAGGAUUCCGAAGACAACAUCCAAUGAAAAAUAAUACAGAAAACGGAACACAAGAACAUAAGUAUAUAUAUACCUGCAAUUGAUCCGAAAAAUCCUUGUUGUUAAAUACCGAUGUUACACCCCAAUGAACAACAACAUCAUCAGGAACAGGCAAAGGCAAAUAAAAAAAAUUGUACAUUAUGUCGGCAAUUGCAAGUCAAUUCUGGGAGCUCAAUUCUUGAGUUAAAAAUUUUAGGGAUUACCUAAAUAGAGGUUGAAUUCAUCAUCCUACCGAGUUUGAUAAAGAAAUAGGAUAUUCUGCUUUCAGGAAUCCUUAAAAAACAAAACCGCUGACAAUCGAUUCCUGCAAAAAAGAAAGUACAAAAAACCCAAAAAUGAAAAUUAGGUGAUACAUAAUUACUCCCAAAAUUGUCAAUUGUAAAACAAAUCAACAUCUCAAUAAUCCUGUAAACCUGAUCUAUGCACCUUUUUUUUUCUACGAAUCCUGGGAUGUGACCUACUGAGAAAAUGAUAAAGCUGGAAGGGGGCAAAAAUCGACGGUGUAAAACGGACCUGAAGUUGAUCAAUUGAGGGUUCCAUGAUCUCUAUCUCCAAGUAGAAAGUUUAUAGAUGUUUUCUUGAAGUAUUGAAGCCACCGAUAUCACUUCCUUAUCCAGCAGACACCACCGUUGUUGCAGGUGGCAACAGUCUCGCUGCCUUUCUUCUCUUCCAACUAACUAUGCCCCGGUUCUUAGAAAUCUUU